rnacentral:misc_RNA from 1 species
GGCUGGUUCGGGCCCGGGUUCACCACGUCGCUGUGCCGCGGGCUCGACGCCGCCGCGGCCGGGCCUUUCGCCUCGCCGCCGGGCUGAUCGGCGUCCGCCUGCUUGGUCCUGCUGGCGCUAGCCUUCGGCGGCCGGCCCGGGGUCCUGCCGCCGCGCCGCCUGUCGGCGCUCUGCAGCUUGCUCAUGUCGAUGGCGAUGGCGGUGUCGUCAGGCCCGGCGGUGUAUUUCCGGCGGUACGUGUGGAUCUGUCGGCUGAGGUGCGAGUUCCAGUAGUUCUUGAUCUCGUUGUCUGUUCGGCCGGGGAGGUGGCUGGCGAUCAG